AACGCACAUUGCGCCCGCCAGCAUCCUGGCGGGCAUGCCUGUCCGAGCGUCAUUUCAACCCUCAGGGCCCGUCCGCGGGACCUGGCGUUGGGGAUCGGCCGCGCCCAUGGAGGCCGGCCGGCCCUGAAAUACAGUGGCGGUCACGUCGCGACCUCCCCCGCGUAGUAGAAUACACCUCGCGGCGGGAAGGCGGCGCGGCCACGCCGUGAAACCCCCUACUUCUCAAGGUUGACCUCGGAUCAGGUAGGAAUACCCGCUGAACUUAA
rnacentral:misc_RNA from 1 species